rnacentral:rRNA from 1 species
UACAGAGGCCUCGAGCGUUAGGCGGAAUCACUGGGCUUAAAGCGCGUGUAGGCGGAUCGUUAAGUACCUUGUGAAAUCCCACGGCUCAACCGUGGAACUGCUGGGGUAUACUGGGCGGUCUUGGGGCCAUCUAGGGGUCGCCCGGAACAAGCGGUGGAGCGGUGAAAUGCGUAGAUAUCGCUUGGAACGCCAAAGGUGAAGACAGGCGACUGGAGAUGUGCCGACGCUGAGACGCGAAAGCCAGGGGAGCGAACGGG